AUUGAACGCUGGUGGCAUGCCUUACACAUGCAAGUCGAACGGCAGCACGGGUGCUUGCACCUGGUGGCGAGUGGCGAACGGGUGAGUAAUACAUCGGAACAUGUCCUGUAGUGGGGGAUAGCCCGGCGAAAGCCGGAUUAAUACCGCAUACGAUCUACGGAUGAAAGCGGGGGACCUUCGGGCCUCGCGCUAUAGGGUUGGCCGAUGGCUGAUUAGCUAGUUGGUGGGGUAAAGGCCUACCAAGGCGACGAUCAGUAGCUGGUCUGAGAGGACGACCAGCCACACUGGGACUGAGACACGGCCCAGACUCCUACGGGAGGCAGCAGUGGGGAAUUUUGGACAAUGGGCGAAAGCCUGUUCCAGCAAUGCCGCGUGUGUGAAGAAGGCCUUCGGGUUGUAAAGCACUUUUGUCCGGAAAGAAAUCCUUGGCCCUAAUACGGUCGGGGGAUGACGGUACCGGAAGAAUAAGCACCGGCUAACUACGUG
rnacentral:rRNA from 1 species